rnacentral:rRNA from 1 species
GAUGAACGCUAGCGGCAGGCUUAACACAUGCAAGUCGAGGGGUAUAGUAGCAAUACUAGAGACCGGCGCACGGGUGCGUAACGCGUAUGCAAUCUACCUUUUACAGAGGGAUAGCCCAGAGAAAUUUGGAUUAAUACCUCAUAGUAUAUUAGAGUGGCAUCACUUUAUUAUUAAAGUUCCAACGGUAAAAGAUGAGCAUGCGUCCUAUUAGCUAGAUGGUAAGGUAACGGCUUACCAUGGCUACGAUAGGUAGGGGUCCUGAGAGGGAGAUCCCCCACACUGGUACUGAGACACGGACCAGACUCCUACGGGAGGCAGCAGUGAGGAAUAUUGGACAAUGGGCGCAAGCCUGAUCCAGCCAUGCCGCGUGCAGGAAGAAGCAUCUAUGGUGUGUAAACUGCUUUUGUACAGGAAGAAACAUCCCGACGUGUCGGGACUUGACGGUACUGUAAGAAUAAGGAUCGGCUAACUCCGUGCCAGCAGCCGCGGUAAUACGGAGGAUCCAAGCGUUAUCCGGAAUCAUUGGGUUUAAAGGGUCCGUAGGCGGUUUGGUAAGUCAGUGGUGAAAGCCCAUCGCUUAACGAUGGAACGGCCAUUGAUACUGCCAGACUUGAAUUAUUGUGAAGUAACUAGAAUAUGUAGUGUAGCGGUGAAAUGCUUAGAUAUUACAUGGAAUACCAAUUGCGAAGGCAGGUUACUAACAAUAUAUUGACGCUGAUGGA